AAUAAUAAUAAUAUUAAUAAUAAUAAUAUAAAGGGUUGCAAGGCCCAGUGAAAGUCUAGAUCUUCAUGUUAUAAUUCAAGCAUGAUCCAGUCAUUUUCACUAUUUUUCAUCUCUGUAUCAGAACCUUAUCACCUUUAUCCUAUUGAUUAGAUGAUUCCUUAAGUCUAAGCAUGAGACCUGGAGAAAAUGUUCGCUUUUGAUUUAUAAUUUAACCCCUUAAGGACCAACCCAAAUAAACCUGUACACC